GACCUAAACUCUAAAACCUUUAAUUUUUUUUAGAGCAUGGUUAUAAAUCCUCAGCGAUAAAGAUGGUCUUCUGACCAGUACUUCAUCGCUGAGGUCUGUAUCCGAAAGGGUGUAGGAUAGUUUCGAAAGAAGCUAUC
rnacentral:sRNA from 12 species